UGAGCCUAGAACUCAAAGCUCUGGAUGCC
rnacentral:piRNA from 1 species